rnacentral:rRNA from 1 species
CACGUAGGCGGACCGAUCAGUCGGGGGUGAAAUCCCGGGGCUCAACCCCGGAACUGCCUUCGAUACUGUCGGUCUGGAGGAUGAGAGAGGCGAGUGGAAUUCCGAGUGUAGAGGUGAAAUUCGUAGAUAUUCGGAGGAACACCAGUGGCGAAGGCGGCUCGCUGGCUCAUUUCUGACGCUGAGGUGCGAAAGCGUGUGGAGCAAACA